UACGAAGGGGGCUAGCGUUGCUCGGAAUCACUGGGCGUAAAGGGUGCGUAGGCGGACUCUUAAGUCGGUGGUGAAAUCCUGGAGCUCAACUCCAGAACUGCCUUCGAUACUGAGAGUCUCGAGUCCGGGAGAGGUGAGUGGAACUGCGAGUGUAGAGGUGAAAUUCGUAGAUAUUCGCAAGAACACCAGUGGCGAAGGCGGCUCACUGGCCCGGUACUGACGCUGAGGUGACGAAAGCGUGGGGAGCGAAACAGG
rnacentral:rRNA from 1 species